CCUACGUGAAUAUGGUUACCGUAUAAUUCAUCCCUUUUGACCCCUGUGUUUAGGAUGACUCAGGGUUAAACUAUCAACCCUGAUGAGAUCAUCCGAAUCGUGCUCAACUCAAUUAGUCCUGUGACUCCUCACUAGGACUACCCUGGCCAAGAUUUUGCUAAAUUAAAACACGACUGUACACAGCUCCUAAACUGGAGUGGUCAAUCCCAUCUUGACACAUGCACCGAUAAGUCAAGUACUUGACUACACC
rnacentral:lncRNA from 1 species